rnacentral:rRNA from 1 species
GUGUCAGCCGCCGCGGUAAUACGGAGGGGGCUAGCGUUGUUCGGAAUUACUGGGCGUAAAGCGCACGUAGGCGGUUUGGCAAGUCAGGGGUGAAAUCCCCAGGCUCAACCUGGGAAUUGCCCUUGAUACUGCCUGACUAGAGUCCGGGAGAGGGUAGUGGAAUUCCCAGUGUAGAGGUGAAAUUCGUAGAUAUUGGGAAGAACACCGGUGGCGAAGGCGGCUACCUGGACCGGUACUGACGCGGAGGGGCGAAAGCGUGGGGAGCAAACAGGAUUAGAUACCCUGGUAGUCCACGCCGUAAACGAUGAGUGCUAGAUGUUGGGGAACCUAGUUCUUCAGUGUCACAGCUAACGCGUUAAGCACUCCGCCUGGGGAGUACGGCCGCAAGGCUAAAACUCAAAGGAAUUGGCGGGG